rnacentral:rRNA from 1 species
AUUGAACGCUGGCGGCAUGCCUUACACAUGCAAGUCGAACGGCAGCGGGGACUUCGGUCCGCCGGCGAGUGGCGAACGGGUGAGUAAAGUAUCGGAACGUACCUUUCAGUGGGGGAUAACGUAGCGAAAGUUACGCUAAUACCGCAUAUUCUGUGAGCAGGAAAGCAGGGGAUCGCAAGACCUUGCGCUGAUUGAGCGGCCGAUAUCAGAUUAGCUAGUUGGUGAGGUAAAGGCUCACCAAGGCGACGAUCUGUAGCGGGUCUGAGAGGAUGAUCCGCCACACUGGAACUGAGACACGGUCCAGACUCCUACGGGAGGCAGCAGUGGGGAAUUUUGGACAAUGGGGGCAACCCUGAUCCAGCCAUGCCGCGUGAGUGAAGAAGGCCUCGGUUGUAAGUACUCUUCGGUCAGGAACGAAACGGUAGAGGGCGUAAGU